UACGGAGGGGGCAAGCGUUGUCCGGACUUACUGGGCGUAAAGGGCGCGUAGGCGGCCUUCUAAGUCGAACGUGAAAUCCCCGGGCUCAACCCGGGAACUGCGUCCGAUACUGGAAGGCUUGAAUCCGGGAGAGGGAUGUGGAAUUCCAGGUGUAGCGGUGAAAUGCGUAGAGAUGUGGAGGAACACCGAUGGCGAAGGCAGCCUCCUGGGCCAGCACUGACGCUCAUGCACGAAAGCGUGGGGAGCAAACAGG
rnacentral:rRNA from 1 species